UCCCUGGUGGUCUAGUGGUUAAGACUCUGUACUUUCACUGCAGAGGGCAUGGUUUGAUCCCUGAUCAAGGAA
rnacentral:tRNA from 1 species